rnacentral:rRNA from 1 species
UACGAAGGGGGCUAGCGUUGCUCGGAAUCACUGGGCGUAAAGGGUGCGUAGGCGGGUCUUUUAAGUCCGGGGUGAAAUCCUGGAGCUCAACUCCAGAACUGCCUUUGAUACUGAGGAUCUUGAGUUCGGGAGAGGUGAGUGGAACUGCGAGUGUAGAGGUGAAAUUCGUAGAUAUUCGCAAGAACACCAGUGGCGAAGGCGGCUCACUGGCCCGAUACUGACGCUGAGGCACGAAAGCGUGGGGAGCAAACAGGG